rnacentral:rRNA from 1 species
GAUGAACGCUGGCGGCGUGCCUAAUACAUGCAAGUCGAGCGAACGGACGAGAAGCUUGCUUUUCUGAUGUUAGCGGCGGACGGGUGAGUAACACGUGGAUAACCUACCUAUAAGACUGGGAUAACUUCGGGAAACCGGAGCUAAUACCGGAUAAUAUUUUGAACCGCAUGGUUCAAAAGUGAAAGACGGUCUUGCUGUCACUUAUAGAUGGAUCCGCGCUGCAUUAGCUAGUUGGUAAGGUAACGGCUUACCAAGGCAACGAUGCAUAGCCGACCUGAGAGGGUGAUCGGCCACACUGGAACUGAGACACGACCCAGACUCCUACGGGAGGCAGCAGUAGGGAAUCUUCCGCAAUGGGCGAAAGCCUGACGGAGCAACGCCGCGUGAGUGAUGAAGGUCUUCGGAUCGUAAAACUCUGUUAUUAGGGAAGAACAUAUGUGUAAGUAACUGUGCACAUCUUGACGGUACCUAAUCAGAAAGCCACGGCUAACUACGUG